AUUCCUGGUAUAUAUGUGUGUGUGUGUGUGUGUGUGUAUAUAUAUAUAUAUAUAUAUAUAUACACACACACACACACACACACAUACACAUA
rnacentral:miRNA from 1 species